UUGUAUUCAGUUAAACCAAACAGCACCCUUAGUCUUUAAUUACAAAUCCUAUCAAAUAAAAAGAACCAAGAUAAUAUGCUACAAAACACAUUUAAUACUUGCUAAUUCAGUGACUAAUCAGCAAGAAAGCUUAACAACCAAAUGAAACCCAACAAAAACCUAAAGAAUCAGCUCCAUCUCGCAAACAAAAUAUGAGGCAUAAUUAGUCAUUCACGAGCAUAAUAAAAAUUAAAAUCCACACCAACAGUGUAAGCAAAGAAAUGGACCUUGGAAUAGAAGAAUCAAAUUUCCUUGAAAGCUUUAAAAUGUAUAUGGACUUCCAAGUAGAAACCAAACAGAGCUGAUGAAUUCGAAGCGGAACCAAUCAAAUUUCCUUGAAAGCCAAACUGAAUUCGGACUCACCUCAACAACAUUUCAAUCAAAUUCCAUAUUUGAGAAUCAAAAUUCAAAUGAGAAAGAAGAAACGGAAAUCUCUUAUUUUGUUUUUACAAAAACAAUUACAUUCCAUCUCCUCUGCUCAUGACCUCCUUUGUUCUUCCCCAUUUUCUCCUCUUGUCUCUACAGUGUUGUGCUCUAUUUUGGACUCAUUUGCUAUUGUUGGAAACAUAAAAGCAAAAGAAAGAAAAUGGUGGAAAAAGGGAUGAGAUGAGCGGCGUUGGGGAUUUUCGCUACUAUCUUGUCCUUCUUGUCACUGGCAGAAAAUGGGGCGUCGUUCCCCUUUUUGUUCUGUAUGUUGUAUGUUGCUAUUGUUGUUUCUUUUUCUUAGGAGUGAUUGGUCACUAGGUCUAUAUGUGGUGAAAGGAGGAAGAAGGAGUCCUUGUGGGGGGUGACGUUGUGUAUAUGUGUAGGGU
rnacentral:lncRNA from 1 species